rnacentral:misc_RNA from 1 species
AGAACGCAUCCCGAAAAGUGUGAAACGGUUUUCGGAAAAGAUGCGUGU